rnacentral:lncRNA from 1 species
GCCACCUGAUACUGCUUGCAGGAAUGCCUCCACUGCGUCCUCCUAAUGCAACUCUUAGUCUGUUCUUGCUCUGUGAUCUCUUUUCAAGCAUUUCAAUUCCAUAAAAUAGAUUUUAAAUUACGCGUACAAGGGUGUGCCAGGGUAGGUGCAGGUGCUCAGAACCAAACCUUACAGGCUUCCAACUGCUGAGCCAUUUUAAAAAUAGAUGCCACAGAGGUGUUACUAGCAUAGUUCUCUUUUAUUGUUUUUACUAAUGGAUUCGACCUCAGUUGCUACACUGGGUGAAUCAGCUUCCGCCCACCACGUGAGUCUCUGAUCAGAUGCAGCAUCUCGCCACCAUUUCUAUUUCUCUUUGCUGUGAGGGGUGGACGUACCUGUAGAUCUUUCAGUGUCAAGUGUUUUAUGUCACCUACAACCAGGAUCUUGCUUUCAGGUAAACACACGUGAAAUAUUGUUACCUCAUUUUUUUUGUUCCCUUGUAAUCUGUUGAGGGCGAAUCCACAUUUGUCCCUGUACGUGUAAAGAAAUGUAUCUUUUCUGCUAUUUGAAGAGUUCCCCACUUGGAUUAUGUGCAACAAAGCACUUGGUAAUUUAAGGAGCAUGUAGAUAGCAGAAGAAAGAGAAUGGAAAGAACGCAAUUUGUCAUGCUCUGUCUGAGUGAUUUUUUUUAAAAAGUGUUUUACUCUAUCUGUUCUAGAAUAAUUUCUCCUGACACGCCCUUUUCUUUGUGUGUUUUGGUUAAGGUGUUAUUUCUCACGAAAGAUAGAAUCACCCCGUUACAUCUCAGUGUUAUGUUUUUAUAUUAUUUAUUUCAUCUCAUCGAUUGGAGCUCAGCUUCAAGGCCGCCCAGGCGGAACCUUUGAUCCGGUAGGAGACCUACUCCUGGAGUCCGCUGUGCAGCCGCUGUGAAGGUGCUGUGUGUACCUUUCUCUGUAGCUCUUUCCAUUCUUUCCUCUUAACGAAAU